rnacentral:rRNA from 1 species
UACGGGGGGGGCAAGCGUUGUUCGGAAUUACUGGGCGUAAAGGGCUCGUAGGCGGCCAACUAAGUCAGACGUGAAAUCCCUCGGCUUAACCGGGGAACUGCAUCUGAUACUGGAUGGCUUGAGUUCGGGAGAGGGAUGCGGAAUUCCAGGUGUAGCGGUGAAAUGCGUAGAUAUCUGGAGGAACACCGGUGGCGAAGGCGGCAUCCUGGACCGACACUGACGCUGAGACGCGAAAGCGUGGGGAGCGAACCGG